rnacentral:lncRNA from 1 species
CCCCGGAGAGCGGGGACCGCCCCUCUGGGCCGUGCAUCCGCCCCCCCGUCACGGGCGCUGUGCACCGCCUCCGCCCCCCAGGCCCCAGCGGCUGUUCCCGCUGUGACGGUGCUGCCCCGCCGCCGCUGGGAUUGUUCCUCACCAUUGGCACGGUACUUAACAAGCUAAUCUCUGUAUUUCUUGAAUACGCACGAAUUAGCAGCUGACACAAACACUUGGGGGAAAUAAUAUAGCAUAAGUUAAGGGUGUAACUGUGCCUUCAAAACUCACUUCAGAGCUGACCCAGCAAAUGCACAAAUUAUACCGAAGUCUUUCAGAACGGCAGCAAACAGUUUUCAACACAGCGCGCUGCAGGUAGCUGCUCACUGAAAGAAGGAGCGAAGCAGUUAACUGUGUGGGGAGUCCAUCAGUGAAAACUUUUGCAACAGACAUUCAAGAGUGGUUUACACCUGAGGCUGUACUCCCUGGUGAUGAGGACAGGAUAGCAGAGUGUAAUUCCUGGUUUCUGUUUCUGGCCCUGGGGACCCACCAGGUCUUUAUGAUUGUGAAUGCCAUCCUGUACAUUGCUGGACCACAGAAUAAAAACCCAGAAGCGUUAUGUGAUAAAAUGAUGAAGACACUCAACGCUGCGUUGGUGCGCAAGGUCUCAGGCUUGUCCCGGCGGUAGCAGGAGCUCUGGAGCC